AGUUGUGCCCUGCGCUCCGACGAACAGCGACAAGGGGGCGGAGAGGCUGCGUGCUAAAAUGAGGCAAAGAUCCAUUACAGCCACGGCAGGGGAGACGAUGCCGCAAGGGGCUGAUGCGCGCCACAGAACAGCCUCGCUGGCUGGUCCCGUCUUCGUCCCGCCUCCCUUCCGCGCGGGGUGGGCGUGGGAGGAUACACUCCCGCAGUCGGCGGCCCCACUGCUCUCUAUAGGACUCUUUCCGCGAACCGACCCCUCAAGAACUCACUCACGCCUAUUCCUUACCUCGAUGGAAUCCUUAGUCUUUAAACUGAAAGAACCCAAAAGACAAAAUAAUAAUCGUCAGGGGCCUUCCUGCAGAUGGAGAGUCCGUGCUGGCUGCUUUUAACCAUCCAAGACUUGACUGCCUGCAGACAAAGGUUUCCAACCUGGCUUACCGAAGUGAUUGCGUUACUCAGGCCUUUCUCAGACAGUUGUUGCUAUAAAUAGGUACAGUCUCCCUCCUCCCGCGUCAGAGAACGAGUGAGAAUGGAUUUACAGCAGUCUGUCUGGUUGCAUUAUGGUGAAGACCUUGGUGAGCUGUCUGCGGGCUCCAUCCAGCCCCUAACGUUACCAGGACACGGGACAUUCCCAUUUUCUGCAAUGGGAAGAAGUGGGUGGAAGUCACCUCCAAAAAUAUAUAAAGAAAUGUCCACCCCUAGCAUUGGUGUUAAAGUUGUCCAACUGUUUUCAGUUUUUGAAGAUGCUGCAGAAAAAGAGAAUGUAGAAGUUGCUGGGUCAGGGAUCAAAGGAUCAAAUCUGCACUACAGCUGUAACCAGAACCACUGAAGUGACAACCCAGAUCCUUAACCUGCUGAGCCACAAGACAAUUCCAUGUUCUGAUCUGUUUCAAGCAUUUCAUAUCUGGUGUCAAAGAGGUUACUAAAAAGAUAGGAAUCCUGCCUGCUACAUUGAGACAGAGUAAAGAGAAACAGACAUGAAUUUUGGAGGUAAGCAAACCUCAGAUUGCAUCCCAGUUCUAAUGCAUACUGUGUGGCCUUUGGCCACUUACUGAACCUCUCUGAGCUUUCUUCUUCCAUGAAACAGAGAUAAAAACACCUGACUGAUCCUGAUCCUGUUUUUCGAGGAUCGAAAGUGAUGGUAGGUAUGAUGUUCCUGGUAUAGACUAGGUAUGUGAUUGCUUUUCUGCCAAUAUUUUUUGGCUGUUGAACUUAGCCUCUUCGGAACCCAUUUUCCUUAUUUUUAAAAUGAAGCGUGAGGCUAAGCUGACUGCUAAGGUCUCUUCCAGUUCAGAGUGUCUCGUAUAUCAAGCUUGGGAAAGGUUCCGAGUGCUUUCUUUCCUGAUAUUAUCUCGUGUGAUCCUCUAACAACCUUUUGAGUUAGGUCCUAUUAUAAUUCACAUUUUACAGAAGAGAAAACUGAGGCUCAGGAAGAAUGAAUAACUGGGCAGGGUUACUUACCUAGCAGUCAGCUAGGAAAUAGGAUUUGAACCCAGAGCCUACAGUUUAAAUCAGUGCCCUGAACUGUGAGGCUCAGAGCCAUGUGCAGUGGAUCCUCGUGUAACAGCUGCUCAGUGGUUACUCUCAGUGCCCUUGACUGACUGGGCACUACCUAUGCUCUGAUGGGUGGGCUGUAUCCUGCCCCAAAUUUUACUGACAGGGCACCAAUCCAGGAAGCAAGGAAUUUCCCAGGAAUAACAGGACAGUGCCCACAGAGGAUAUGAGUGGACGACAGGGAGUUACGGAAUUGCUGACUGACUGGGUAGAUGGCUCCCCAGCCAACCUGGCGGACCUUGUAGACAGGUGCACAUCAUACAGACUGAAUUGAUGGUGACGAAAUAUCUGAAAAGUGUGUCUGCAUCUCUCUUUGGUGCUGUCAGGGCCCUCCUCUCUUAUCUAGUUUCUUGCUUCUAAUAUGUCCUGGAUUCAGAAACCAGCUAACCAAACUUGUUAGAACUGUGCUUCAAAUAAGAGUUAAGUAUACUCUGCAAAAGUCCCUGAGGCGUGCUCGAAGAAGGGUUAGAGCUUGGAGAUUGUGACAUUUCGGUGUCAUCAGAGAGAAGGAAAAGCGGCUCAAAAUAAUUUGAAAGCCUAUCAAAUGUUUAUACUAAUUUGCAUACAUAAGCACAUAGAUGUUUAUGUCUGCUAUACCCACAUUUGGCUCUGCUUAAAUGUUCUGUUCCUUGCUGAUCUCAAAUGACUCAGAUAGUAGCUAUAUUCAACUUUCCCACGUAAAUUUCCUAAAACACCAGGUACUGACUCCUGGUAAUUUUAUUGGCGUUUCCUUCAGGAACCUGUAUUGGCAUUCAGUUGGCAACAAUUAUCUCCUGGUGGGAAGCUGAUACCUACUUUUCUGGGCUUUGUUAUCUUUUUUUUUUCUUCUGCAGAUAUGUUGGGUUAUAGCUUAGCAGUGUUAUAGAGAAACUCACGUGCUUAGGUGAUGUUAAUGUGCUAUUUUCUUUAACUUAUUGAAUAAAAACUCACCCAUCAGCGGUGUUUCAGAUCCAGUUGAAUUUUUAUUUUCCUUUAAAACCUUAACAAUCACCAGGAAAAUUGUGCUAUAAGGCCCCGAGUGGCAGCCAACGUCUUUCAUCAAAGCAACUCAAAAUACUUCCCAAACAUUAAUUAAACCCCACACAUUGUAGCCUAGUUACACACUGAAUUUUUUCUUAAAAAAAAAAAAAAUCAGUACCAGCAAGUAGGUGACAGAUGUACAUGGCAAAGGAAAAUGAAAACUUCUUAAGGAAACAAAUUUGAGUUUUCAAGUACCAAGGGCAUCUACUUCCUCUUAAUAAAACGAUGUUCUAGUCCCUGAUCACAUUCGGCUGCUCAUCUUCUUACACAUAGAGCUGUUGAUCCAAUCUUCCUUUCCACAAGCAUUAUUCUCUUGGCACAGGCAGAAACAUUUGCUUCUUGGCUUUAUUGCUAUCAGGCGUGGUAAGGCUGUGGGCCACAGGGAAACUUGAGCAGUUUCUAAAGUGACGAGGAAGUUGAGCACUUUCCUAGCAUCACCCGGGUGCACUGGGUCCCCUGGGAGCAGAAGCAUUCUGAUCCAAGUUGAGUCCCUCGCAAGUAGCAGGACCCUGAGAGUGAGAGCCCAGCCUUGACUUGAAGCUUUGAAAUGCACCUGGAGGUCAUACAGGCAACUAAGAGGGGCCAGGCCCAGGGAGGGGCUGGAACGCAUACAAAGACGUGCUGGGCUCAACCUUUUCUCCCAUUACCGCUCACCCCUCCAAACCCCACAAAAGAGGACACUGAAUUGCUAACCUUGAAACUGCACAGUCCUUUUCCCAGAAAUCCUCUCAUUCACACACACAUCAGUACCUCCCUUAAAGAGGAGCUGGCUGCCAGUUGGCUGGAAUUGUCGGCUGGCCUUGAGUCUGGCUGAAUUGCUCCAAUCCUCAUCUCCCUCGACACAUCAGAUCACACCUCUUGGCUUCUUAUGGUUUCCAUGCCUACCAGAUUCAAUAUCUUGGAUAUGUCUUCUUCACCAAUUACUAUUAUUUUUUUUGCAUCUAGUCCAAUAUUAUCACCGUACAAGUAUCAGCUGUUGCUGCUGCUGCUGUUACUAUUAUUAUAAUCAUGUGUCCUUGAAACUCUUGUAGUUUAAUGAACAAUUCAAAAGAACUAGAUACCACAUAUGACAGUAAUAAAAAUACGUUUCAUUUUUAGAAUGCUUUCACUCCCAGGAUCCUAUGUCUUGGAUUCAUUUAUUUAUUUGCUCAUCUAUUUCCUCAUUCAACCAAGAGACUUCCAUGGUCUCAGUGGGGAUGAAACAUAAUUAAAAUACGGUUCCUGGUUUCAAGAGCUGACAGUACAGAGGGAGACAUACACAGAACCAAGAAGAUAAGUGCUAUGCUUGAGUUGAUCCUCAGAUCAUCAUAUUUACCAGUGAGAGAAGGAGCCCCAGAGGGUAGCAAAGACAUUCUCAAGGUCACACAGCUAGUUACUUGAGGAAUAAAUCUAACAUCCAGGCCUUCCUGUUAUUAAGCCACUGUAUUUUUGCUAACUCUGCCACUUGGUUUCCUUUAGAGCAUUGUUUUUCAAAAGUGUGGUCCAAGGGCCAACAGCAUCAGCAACAUCUGAGAACUUAUUAGAAAUGCAAAUCCUUAGCUUUUGCCCCAGACCUACAGAAUCUGAAAUUCUGGAAGUGGGGCCCAGAAAUCUGUAUUUUAAUGAGCCCUCAACAUGAUUCCAAUACACACUAAAGUUUGAAAACUCUUACUCCAGAUCAGUGCUUUUCAAACAUCAUUGUGCAUAGGAAUCACCUGGGAAGUUUUUUAAAGAUGUAAGUUUUGAUUCAGUGGAUUUGGGAGGGGUUUUGAGCCUGCAUUUCUAACAAACUCUCCGGCUACACCUAUGCUGCUGGACUUGGCUUAAAUAGCAAGAAUAUAAAGAGAAGUAACCCCAGCAGGAGCAGUGGUUAAGCCCAGAUGAUGAGUGGUGCUAGGGUAUCAAGUGAAUUCAAUAAAAUGAUUUCUUGUCAUGUAGGAGCUUAAACUUUAGCACAGAUAAUGUGCAGAUAGAUAGACUUUCAGGGCAUAAAAUCCACACUGGUGAGAGAGAGAGAGAGAGAGUGUGUGUGUGUGUGUGUAUGUACACAUAUAUAAAACUUUGCAGGUUGGAACAGUUUAAUAUAGUGGAAACACAUGGGUAAACAUCAAUAAAGAACAUUACAUAUAAAGCAGAAGGUAGUAAUCGCAGAAUGCUCAGAAAAUAAUAAAAUCACAAAACAUUGAAGAUAUUUGGAAAGCAUGUAAAACAUCUGAGACAGUUUCCCCCCCCCCCCACCCCCUGCGCCAAAAUGGUUGGGUUACUAGACUUGGUAAAUAAAAAUAUCCUAUCUGGAAAUCCUAAAAAUACGAGGGCUCAGUAAUCUCUGGAAAUUUCAUUGAUGCAGAUAGCCCGCUUCUCUGAAAUGCCUGUCAAGAAUGAUUGUAUGGGGAGCUUGUGUGAGAUGGUGACUGAAAUAGGAGGUGUUGGAGUUGUAAGCUUGGACAGGGAAGGUCCCAGGCAAAUUUACUCUGGGUCUCUCAAUUGGUUAAGAAGGGUAGGUCUGUCAGGACUGUUUCCACUUGCAAGUCAUGAAACCCAACGAAAGUUAGCUUAGACAGGAAAGGAGUUUAUUGGUCUUGUGCCACAGAAGAUCAGAAUUAGGAAGUUCCAAGACCAGCAUGAAUCAGCAAUGUUAUCAAGGGUCCAGCUUCUUGUUUCAUCACCCUUAACAUUGUAGAAUAGCACCUGUACUUCCAGACACUAAGUCUAGGUGGCAGGCACGAAGAAAGGAAAAGGCAAGACCAAGAUUAAAGGGCUGAAGUGCAUGCCAGCUGAAAUUGUCUCUAAGAAAUGUGCCUGUGCAUUGCACUCAGGGAAUUCCAUUUCUUAUCUCUUUGGUUGUCUGGUGAUUCCUGAUUGCUGGGAGUCUGGAAAAUUAGACACAUGCACCUUGGAUAAAUUCAAAGUUCACUUGUUAAUGAAGCUAAGAAUGAAUGAAUACUAAGUGGGCAAUAAGUAGUGUGUGUCUUAAAAAAUUUAUGGAGCAGGUGGUGGAUGAAAGAAAAAGAGAAAGAAUAGGUGAAUGAUUGAGGAAUCCAAGUUUUGGAAGCAUGGGCGAAGAGGUUGUAUCAGGGUGGCUGUUCAUGCAAACUAAUAUAUGACCUCAAGUAGGGUCAACUCACCCAAUUCAAAGUAAACCUCCAUUUUUAAGAUCUGGAACAUGCCAUUUUGCCUGAUUCUCUGAUUCCUUUUCCUUUUGGAAAAGAAGCUUGGUGCUGAGUGACAAGUGUUACGUAUUUAUUUGACACUUCCUUAUUAGUUGACAAUGUUGCUUCUCAGUCUGGUUUAAUUUGAAAGACAUAGUAGGCAAAGUCUCUGGGCAAUUGAUAACCUGUUAUGGGGUGAAUCUUAUGAUAUGACAUUACUUUAACCAUUAUUACAAGCAAAAUGGGGGCAGUUUUGCAGUUUUCACAGCAUCCUCUGCUUGGACUAGUGGAAUCUGUAAUACUACAUAAAACAAAUGACAAUGUUACAUCAGGAAAAUGGAGACAGGUUGGUGAAAACUUUACAAAAUAACAUUUGAACCAGACCUUAAAUGGUGAGUAAGAUUUCUCUAACGGAUAUAGACAUAGAGACACUUCAAGACCCUGCAUUGUGAGAGAGCUGUUAAAUUACCUUGAAAAGACAUCUUCCUAUGUCAGAAAGAUCGCCUCACCUAUUCUAUUAAAAAAAAAAAAA
rnacentral:lncRNA from 1 species